rnacentral:rRNA from 1 species
AGAGUUUGAUCCUGGCUCAGGAUAAACGCUGGCGGCGCACAUAAGACAUGCAAGUCGAACGAACUUAAUCGUUAGUUUACUAAUGAAGCGGUUAGUGGCGGACUGGUGAGUAACACGUAAGCAACCUGCCUAUUAGAGGGGAACAACAGUUAGAAAUGACUGCUAAUACCGCAUAUGCCAUAAGUAUCGCAUGAUACAAGUGGGAAAGGAGCAAUCCGCUAAUAGAUGGGCUUGCGUCUGAUUAGAUAGUUGGUGGGGUAACGGCCUACCAAGUCGACGAUCAGUAGCCGGACUGAGAGGUUGAACGGCCACAUUGGGACUGAGAUACGGCCCAGACUCCUACGGGAGGCAGCAGUGGGGAAUAUUGCACAAUGGGGGAAACCCUGAUGCAGCAACGCCGCGUGAAGGAUGACGGUUUUCGGAUUGUAAACUUCUUUUCUUAGUGACGAAGACAGUGACGGUAGCUAAGGAAUAAGCAUCGGCUAACUACGUGCCAGCAGCCGCGGUAAUACGUAGGAUGCAAGCGUUAUCCGGAUUUACUGGGUGUAAAGGGAGCGCAGGCGGGACUGCAAGUUGGAUGUGAAAUACCGUGGCUUAACCACGGAACUGCAUCCAAAACUGUAGUUCUUGAGUGAAGUAGAGGCAAGCGGAAUUCCGAGUGUAGCGGUGAAAUGCGUAGAUAUUCGGAGGAACACCAGUGGCGAAGGCGGCUUGCUGGGCUUUAACUGACGCUGAGGCUCGAAAGUGUGGGGAGCAAACAGGAUUAGAUACCCUGGUAGUCCACACUGUAAACG